rnacentral:rRNA from 1 species
UACGGAGGGUGCGAGCGUUGUCCGGAAUCAUUGGGCGUAAAGGGCGCGUAGGUGGCGGGACAAGCGUGCGGUGAAAGCUCGGGGCUCAACCCCGAGUCGGCCGUGCGAACUGUUUUGCUGGAGCACUGUAGAGGCAGGCGGAAUUCCGGGUGUAGCGGUGGAAUGCGUAGAGAUCCGGAAGGACACCGGUGGCGAAGGCGGCCUGCUGGGCAGUUGCUGACACUGAGGCGCGACAGCGUGGGGAGCAAACAGG